rnacentral:lncRNA from 13 species
CUCUGGCUUUACUGUACCACAAGCAUGGUACAGCUACAUCAAUAGAAUAGUUUCAUUGUUACCUUGCUAUGAUUUGUUAAGCCGUAAACUCAUUAUUCUUUACUUAAAGGUAAUCAACGAUUCUCUCUGGGCCAGACAUUACAGGACACAAUAUUUAUGUAUUUGCUCUAAUCAUCGCGGUUCAUUUAUUUUAAGACUAUUGAAAUAAACUGAUGAGAGUAUUACCAGCUGGCUAAUAGAAGAGGAAUGAGAAAAACAGCUAGCAUGCAAACGAUAUGGCAACAGUUAGUUGCCAUGGUGCGCACUGUCCAUGAGGCAUUUCAAAACAAACAUAAUUGACGGUAGCAACUACACUGAGGAGUUCUGGAUUGACUGCAACAUCUGCUUGGAUCUGCAAACGAAGCUUCAGGACGAUGUUUCAUCUCAAUCACAAUGAAGUGAGAUUAGUCAAUUAUAGAUACUACAAUAAAGUAUCUUGGACCUGCAGAUUAUUUAAACAAAACCAAAUGCAUGGAUUCAAACAGGUAGUAGAGGAACAAAAUGUUUUUAGCAAUGGCUGCAGUAGAAGAUUGUGUUCUUGCCAGACUGCUCAUCCAUGGCCAAGCAGUGUACAGAGUGGGCAGAUACAGCUCAACCGUGCUGCCACUGAAAUGUUUGUUUUGUGCAAGGGUUCAAGAGUGAGUUGUAGUUCCCACCGAAUUGUGCUUUGCAGUGACACAGCUGUAAUACCAUCCAGGCCAAAGAGUAUGCAGAGUCCACAGAUCCAACUCACUGGCUCCCUGUCUCCCACCGCAUUGACUACAUGAUCCUCCUUCUAACUUACAAAACUCAUCACUACCUCCCCCCGUCCCUACGUCUCUGACCUUCUUCUCCGCUACCAAGACACACCUCAUUCCGUACCACCACAGCAGGCCACCUUGUGGUUCCCAGAUCCACGCUCCAGAGCUUCACUGACAGGACUUUCUCCAGGUUUCCUUCAAGGAUCUGGAACUCCCUCCCUCCAGCCACCUGUAACUCUUGAGUCCAUCACCAUCUUUAAGUCCCUCCUAAAGCCCCACCUCUUCACCAUGGCCUAACCUUAAGCCCCGCCCACUACAACCCCUGGUUCAGACUCCCGUUUGUCAACUUUGACCGUCUCCGGAGAAUCACCACCUUCAACAUCAACCUCUAACAUUUUCAAAAGCGACAACCACUAACAACAAUUAGCAAUCUGUUCUGUUGACUGUGUGAAGAUGUGAUGAUAUGCUUGACUCAGAUUACUUAUUCUUUUUGAGCUCCAUUGGCACUUUCAAGUUUAAUGUGGUGAUUCUUUGGAGACCGUCCAGGUUAGCGGCAUCAAUGUUCUUGUCUUUCUCCCUCAGAGGGACAUCUUUCUCCUUCCUGAUGCCGGUGCUGUCCUGUAAAGGAGAGAGAGGGGGGAGAUGUUAGAGAGACAACUAAAAUAAUGUCUCAUCAAAUGUUAGAAACUAACACAGUGCCCAGUAACGAUUGUCUUUCAAGUUUCAAUACCUACCUUAAUAAUGAUCAAUAAAUUGCAAGUCUGUUUGUCAUUAAAUAAUUUGUCAUUCUUCCUUUAUCUCAAGGUAAAAUAGUGCAU